rnacentral:rRNA from 1 species
UUAAUAUUUAUUUAUUAAUUUUUAAAAUUUAAAAAUUUAUAUUUAUUAAAAAUAAUUAUAUAGUUUAUUGUUUUAGUAAUUUAUAUUAAAAAAAUAAUAAUAAUAAUAGUUUAUUAGUAUAGUGAUAGAAUAUUGAAAUAAUUUGAAAAAUUUUUAUUAAAAAAGAAAAUUUAAUUUAUUGUACCUUGUGUAUCAGGGUUUAUUAAAUAAAAAAUAUAUAUUUAUUUUUUUCGAUUUUAAAAGAGUUAAUAAAUAAUUAAAGUUAUUGUAAUAAAAUUAUUUUAAAUUAUUUAUUAGAAAUGAAAUGUUAUUCGUUUUUAAAGGUAUCUAGUUUUUUAAGAAAUAAAUUUAAUUUAGAAGUUUUAAAUUUAUUUGAUUAAUUUUAUUAAUUUAAUAAUUUAAAAUUUUAAUAUUUUAUGGGAUAAGCUAUAAAAUAAAUUUUUAAAAAUUUAAUUAAGAGUAUAAAAAUGUAUGAUUAUAAUUGUCAAUCAUUUAAAGUUUGUUAUAAAUUAUUAUAAUAAUAUUAUUAUUUAUUAUAUUUUAAAUUUAUAUUAAAAUAUUUAUUUUAAUUAUAAUAAUAAAUUAAUUAUGAUAAAAUUAGUAUAUUAUUAAUUAUAUUGUAAAAAUAAAUAUUUUUGUUAAGUUUAUAUAAAGAAUUCGGCAAAAUUAAUAUUCGCCUGUUUAACAAAAACAUGUCUUUUUGAAAAUUAUUAUAAAGUCUAAUCUGCCCAAUGAAUUUUUAAUGGCCGCAGUAUUUUAACUGUGCAAAGGUAGCAUAAUCAUUAGUCUUUUAAUUGAAGGCUGGUAUGAAUGAUUGGACGAAAUAUUAACUGUUUCAUAUAAAUUUUUAUAGAAUUUUAUUUUUUAGUUAAAAAGCUAAAAUUUAUUUAAAAGACGAGAAGACCCUAUAAAUCUUUAUAUUUUAAUAUAUUUUAAUUUUGUAGAUAAAUUUUAUUAUAAUAUGUAAAAAUAUUUUAUUGGGGUGAUAUUAAAAUUUAAUAAACUUUUAAUUUUAUUAAAUCAUUAAUUUAUGAAUUAUUGAUCCUGUUUUAUUGAUUAUAAAUUUAAGUUACUUUAGGGAUAACAGCGUAAUUUUUUUGGAGAGUUCUUAUCGAUAAAAAAGAUUGCGACCUCGAUGUUGGAUUAAGAUAUAAUUUUAGGUGUAGCCGUUUAAAUAUUAAGUCUGUUCGACUUUUAAAUUCUUACAUGAUCUGAGUUCAAACCGGUGUAAGCCAGGUUGGUUUCUAUCUUUAAUAAAUUAUAAUAUUUUAGUACGAAAGGAUUAAAUAUUAAAAUAAUUAUAUUUUUUUAUAGAAUAAAAUUAAUUA